AUUGAACGCUGGCGGCAGGCCUAAUACAUGCAAGUCGAGCGGCAGCGGGUCCUUCGGGAUGCCGGCGAGCGGCGGACGGGUGAGUAAUGCCUAGGAAUCUGCCUGGUAGUGGGGGAUAACGUUCGGAAACGGACGCUAAUACCGCAUACGUCCUACGGGAGAAAGUGGGGGAUCUUCGGACCUCACGCUAUCAGAUGAGCCUAGGUCGGAUUGGCUAGUUGGUGGGGUAAAGGCUCACCAAGGCGACGAUCCGUAACUGGUCUGAGAGGAUGCUCAGUCACACUGGAAGUGAGACACGGUCCAGACUCCUACGGGAGGCAGCAGUGGGGAAUAUUGGACAAUGGGCGAAAGCCUGAUCCAGCCAUGCCGCGUGUGUGAAGAAGGUCUUCGGAUUGUAAAGCACUUUAAGUUGGGAGGAAGGGCAGUCAGUUAAUACCUGGUUGUUUUGACGUUACCAACAGAAUAAGCACCGGCUAACUUCGUGCCAGCCGCCGCCGUAAGAC
rnacentral:rRNA from 1 species